UGGGGAAUAUUGGACAAUGGGCGAAAGCCUGAUCCAGCCAUGCCGCGUGUGUGAAGAAGGUCUUCGGAUUGUAAAGCACUUUAAGUUGGGAGGAAGGGCAGUAAGCGAAUACCUUGCUGUUUUGACGUUACCGACAGAAUAAGCACCGGCUAACUCUGUGCCAGCAGCCGCGGUAAUACAGAGGGUGCAAGCGUUAAUCGGAAUUACUGGGCGUAAAGCGCGCGUAGGUGGUUCGUUAAGUUGAAUGUGAAAGCCCCGGGCUCAACCUGGGAACUGCAUCCAAAACUGGCGAGCUAGAGUAGGGCAGAGGGUGGUGGAAUUUCCUGUGUAGCGAUGAAAUGCGUAGAUAUAGGAAGGAACACCAGUGGCGAAGGCGACCACCUGGGCUCAUACUGACACUGAGGUGCGAAAGCGUGGGGAGCAAACAGG
rnacentral:rRNA from 1 species